ensembl:lncRNA
AGGGCGAGCUUCAGAAGGAGGGAAUGUCUGCUAACGGGUUCAAAUAAGAGGCUGUUUUGUCAUCCCAGGUGACUGAAGACUUUUGAGUUGCUUCGGAAUCCACUGAAAUAGCUACACACUAGAAUAGAUUAGAACAGAAGAGUGGAUUUCCUCCAACUUCUGGACUAUUUCCUCAUGCUUUCACAUCCCCAUAAAUAUGAUCCAAUAACAAAGAAAUGUCUACGUCAUAGCUAUGAACUAGCAAGUAGCGUCCUCCUAAAACUUCUAGGAUUUUUGGCAAGAAACAGUAGAGAUGAGAAGGAAGAGCUUGUGGAUUCUUUACCAUCUGAGCCAUCAGGGAAACCCAAGAGUACUGGAGUGGGUAGCCUAUCCCUUCUCCAGGAGAUCUUCCAGACCCAGGAAUCAAACCAGAGUCUCCUGCAUUGCAAGCGGAUUCUUUACCAGCUGAGCUACCAGGGAAAUCCCCCCCGGUCAACUCCUAAAGGAGGCAGCACUUUGGUUCCCUGAAUACUUCUGUGCAUAGGGCUGUGUGCAGUAUUUUAUACCUUCUUGUUAACCUUCACUGAGAAGCUGUGUAAAUAAAACACAACUCAGCUAUAGAGAGACCCUGUUUGAAGCUCCAGAGGGCUGUGUGAUGAUUAUCCUACGGCUCCUUUUCAAACAGGAAGAAUGCCUCCCAAAGGCAAGCAAUCAAUCUGCUCCUUGGCACAUCCUGGAGCCCUGGGGUUGCACGAUGUCAGGAAAUUGCUGCCCCUUUGUUUCUUGGCUGAAAAUGGCUCUGCCUGCGUUUUCGUUUCUUUCAGAGCUCAGUCAUUGCUGCUACUGCUGCUGCUC